rnacentral:rRNA from 1 species
GAUGAACGCUGGCGGCGUGCCUAAUACAUGCAAGUCGAACGGUGUCUUCGGACAUAGUGGCGCACGGGUGCGUAACACGUAUGCAACCUACCUUACAUUGGGGGAUAGCCUUUCGAAAGGGAGAUUAAUACCGCAUAAGACAGUAGCUGGGCAUCCAGUAGCUGUUAAAGAUUUAUCGAUGUAAGCUGGGCAUGCGUCCAAUUAGUUAGUUGGUGAGGUAAUGGCUCACCAAGACGAUGAUUGGUAGGGGAACUGAGAGGUCAAUCCCCCACACUGGCACUGAGAUACGGGCCAGACUCCUACGGGAGGCAGCAGUAGGGAAUAUUAGGCAAUGGACGCAAGUCUGACCCAGCCAUGCCGCGUGCAGGAAGAAGGCGGUCCGCGUUGUAAACUGCUUUUAUAUAGGAAGAAACGACCCUUGCGAGGGGCAUUGACGGUAUUAUAUGAAUAAGCACCGGCUAACUCCGUGCCAGCAGCCGCCGCAGUAA